rnacentral:rRNA from 1 species
GUGAACGCUAGCGGCAGGCUUAAUACAUGCAAGUCGUGGGGCAGCGCAGGUAGCAAUACUGGGCGGCGACCGGCAAACGGGUGCGGAACACGUACACAACCUUCCGAGAAGUGGGGGAUAGCCCAGAGAAAUUUGGAUUAAUACCCCGUAACAUAACGAUGUGGCAUCACAUUGUUAUUAUAGCUUCGGCGCUUCUUGAUGGGUGUGCGGCUGAUUAGAUAGUUGGCGGGGUAACGGCCCACCAAGUCUACGAUCAGUAGCUGAUGUGAGAGCAUGAUCAGCCACACGGGCACUGCGACACGGGCCCGACUCCUACGGGAGGCAGCAGUAAGGAAUAUUGGUCAAUGGACGCAAGUCUGAACCAGCCAUGCCGCGUGAAGGAUUAAGGUCCUCUGGAUUGUAAACUUCUUUUAUCUGGGACGAAAAAAGGCGAUUCUUCGUCACUUGACGGUACCGGAUGAAUAAGCACCGGCUAACUCCGU